ACUGUGCAAAGGUAGCAUAAUCAUUUGUCUCUUAAUUGGAGGCUGGUAUGAAUGAUUGGACGAGGUAGGAGCUGUCUCAUUAUUAUAAUUAUAAUAAUUUAGCUUUUUAGUUAAAAGGCUAAGAUUUUUUUGGAGGACGAGAAGACCCUAUAGAUCUUUAUAAUAUUUAAUUUACUUUUAUUUUGGUUAUAAAUUUUUUAGUAUAUUAAUAAUUAUUUUGUUGGGGUGACAUGAAAAUUUAUUUAACUUUUCAUUUAUUUAAACAUGAAUUAGUGAGUAUUCGAUCCAUUUUUAGUGAUUGUAAGAAUAAGUUACCUUAGGGAUAA
rnacentral:rRNA from 1 species